AUGUUGCUUCUCCUGCUCCUGGCUGCAGCCUGCUCUUAUGGACAAGCACAAGUGCUUCUGAAGCAGAGUAAAGUAUCCAUUACCAGAGAGCAAACUAAAACCGCAUGGAUUGAGUGUACAGUUGAGGGCAUAGAUGACUUCCAGUCUGCAUAUAUCCACUGGUACCGACACUUACCCUCCAGAGCUCCCGAACGGCUUCUGUAUAUCGCAUCAAGUCAAGUUGUUUAUGAUGACAACUCCUACAAGAGCAAGUAUUCUUCUCUGAAGAAACGUACAAACGUCUGCGCUUUCUCAGUCAAUGACAUCAAUUCCAAUGACGAAGGUACCUACUACUGUGCCUACUGGGAGGACCACAGAGCUAGCAGAGCACAGGCAGCCUGUGCAGAAAGCUGCCUGUGCCAUGAGCAGCAGGCCUUCUGUUAA